GAUGAAGAACUUAGCAAAAUGCGAUAAGUAAUGUGAAUUGCAGAAUUCAGUGAAUCAUCGAAUCUUUGAACGCACAUUGCGCCCGCCAGUAUUCUGGCGGGCAUGCCUGUUCGAGCGUCAUUUCAACCCUCAAGCACAGCUUGGUGUUGGGACUCGCGUUAAUUCGCGUUCCCCAAAUUGAUUGGCGGUCACGUCGAGCUUCCAUAGCGUAGUAGUAAAACCCUCGUUACUGGUAAUCGUCGCGGCCACGCCGUUAAACCCCAACUUCUGAAUGUUGACCUCAGAUCAGGUAGGAAUACCCGCUGAACUUAAGCAUAUCAAUAAGCGGAGGA
rnacentral:misc_RNA from 1 species